AUCAGCUGAGUAAGUCAAUUUUCCUGAUCCUCAACAGUUGUUAUGUUAAUUUUUUUACUAAUUAAUGUAUUGUUUUACUUAAUUAUCAUUGUGUCAACUUUAAAUAAACAUUUUUUUCAUCGACUUCAUCUAAUUUUCAUCAGUCUAUCAAAAGAUAUGAUUGAAAGAAAACAAGUAAACGCGUUGAAAGGCUAACAAUAAAAAGGUUAUCAUCAUCUUCAUAAUCAUCAUCAAUCAAAAUCUUAUUUUGACAAUCACUAUAUUAGAUAAACCUUUAUUACAAGAAGAUGGAAACAAGAUGACAAACGCAAGCUGACUAAGAACUUUCCCAGAUGAUCUCAAACCCAUUUCCUAUGGACAUUAAGAUGACCAGUUUUGAAGCCAAGAAAUAACUCAAUAUUGAAAGCUUAAUAUUUGGAAAUGCAGCUGAAUCCGUUUCAUUGGAAUCCUGGAAAUUUGUCCUUAUUACCACGAAAUUUGGUUUAUUUUGAGAGUUGAUCGCUUGUAUCUUGUUACGGUCUUAAGUUGUUGCGAGCCUCGUACCACUUGAACUGCUUUCUUCUAAAGAUACUCAAAGGACGGAAUAAAUAUAAAAAAUUUAGAUAAGAUGAAUCCAUAAUAGACACUCAGAUUCAUAAUUAAUAAAUAUGUAAUUAGCUGGAUCCAUAUUGAAAUUGAUUGCUGAGACAUUUAACGUUGAAUACUUAAUAGUUUAUUGCUGAUCAGACGCAUCGUGAUUGAUUAUAUGAAACUUGCAUUGGGCGCUUACUCAAUCACGGUAAAUUUAUGUGUACGUAUUACAACGAUUUGGGCAAAAAAAGUGUUUUUACUGUUAUUAUGGACGAUAUAUUUUAACUUUGUGAUGAGAUGUAACAAACGGCAAACACUUACACAAAAGAAACGUUUGCCGUUGUCUGUAACCUCCAACAAUUAAACUCUAAUUAGACUGUAA